GGGGAUAUAGCUCAGUUGGUAGAGUGCUUGCCUUGCAUGCACAAGGCCCUGGGUUCGAUCCCCAGCACCACCA
rfam:Ictidomys tridecemlineatus contig054345, whole genome shotgun sequence.